GUGAGCCCCCCGCUGCGUGGGCGGGCUGCUGCGCUGGCAGGAAGACGGGAGCCCUUGCCAGCCGUCCCCACUCCCCUGGGCCUGCAGUUCCAACCAAAGUGGUUCUGGAGGCUGGAGGUCCGUUGUCAAGAUGUUGCCAGGAUUGGUGUCCUCUCUCCUUGGUUUACAGAUGGCCGUCUUCUCUCCAUGUCUUUGUAGGUUGUUCCUUCUGUCCGUGUCGGAUUAGGAACCACCCUAAUGACCACACGUCACCUUACCCACCUCUUUAAAGCCCCUCUCUUCAAACACAGUCAUAUUCUAAGGACUCCCAACGUAUGAAUUUGGGGGGGGGGGACACACUUCAACCCAUGACAACUAAUAACUCCGCUUUGCGAGCCACAAGUCCUGAUGUAAAUGGGAGAGUCAGUUCCAAGUAUCACGUAUAAAGUUCAACAGUGUUUUGAAAGCCUG